UUUGCUCUAUUUUAAUUUUUGUUUUGACCAAAAUACCCUUGUCUCUUUUACCUGUUUGACCAGAUCGAAUCGAUCUCAUCCAGCCUCUUCGGCUCGAGGAGGGAAGCCUCGCCGCCGUCGCCCAUGGUGGCCUACGCGCGGCGCCGCCGGCGCCACACCUGGCUAUAGGCGGGCUGAAGAGGGAUGCGCUCUGCCGGCUAGACGCCACGGCCGAGCACAAGCAGGACGAGAGUGGCCUGCCGUGCCGCUGCAGCAGGGGCGGACGGCAACGUCGGCGAAGAUCGAGGGCACCCGCCGCCGCAUGAGCGACUCUCUUCCACGCCCUGCCGAGAAGCCUCGCCGCCGUCGGAGCCCACGUCUAUUGCUCCCAUGGUGGUGCUGUGCCUGCGUGCGGCGGCGGCGUCGCCGCUGCAAACAUCACGCCGGCGCCCCCGCAUCGGCUCCGGCUCUGGUGCCGGCGCCUGCCUCCGCCGCUCCCCCACCUGCGUCCCGAUGCCGACGUCCCUGCUGGAGGAAGGCGCCAAUCGCGUGCGCCGUGGAGGUGGCCGGCGGUGGCGUAGACGCUGGCUUGUUGGAGCGAGCACCGCAUCGGGAUAGUAGGGGAGGAAGAGGGGAAAGAGAGAGGAGGGAGUAUGACAGGUGGGACCACGUCGAGGGUAUUUUGGUUAGACAAAAAUUAAAAUAGAGCAAAAUCGUUUCUAAUAACCAAAAAACGUAUUUCAGUGAAUACCCCUUAGUUUAGGAUAGCAUUUUAAUGAAUCACUUUGAAGAUAGUAUUCCAGCAAAACCAUUCUUUUGCGAUAGCAAAAUCACAAUUUUCUCUCCCUCGACGGCGCCGCUUCCCAACGUCCAAUGGCGAGCAGCCGGCUCUCGAUCCGGCGGGUGUAGUCUCCGCGGCGUCGGCGACGGCAGCGGGAAGCUUCAGCUUCGGCCAGAUCGACGGCACCCUCGCCGCCGGUCUCCGAUGGGACCAGGACUAUGGCAGUAAAGAUUUGGCUGGAACAUCCAAUAUUUUCAGCCAAUUGUCUGAAGAUGUGAUUACCAAGGAUGCAAAUAACUAGCAACAAGAGCAGGUAUGUGCAGAGUUGCAGACAACCGCUGAGACUCAACCGAAUUCAUCCAGGCAUAGAAACGGAAAAAUAGACCAUAGCAGCAAUAGUUCUGAUCAGGUAGAUGAAGAAUCCAACAUUUUGAAGAGUCUUUUAUGUUGCUCAGGGAUUCAUAGUACAUAAAUAUGCUGAAGGAAAUAGCAUUGUCGCAAAGAGAUGCAAAAGGUGAAACAUGGGUGCUGAAGAAUAACUGCCAGUAAUUUUAGCUGAAGCUGACCGUAGCAAAGUUUUGGUUAGUGUAGCGAACUGCAAACAUUAAUUUCAUUCAGAUGAGACAUGCAAAUUUGAUUGAGAGGAAAUGUCUCCCAUGUCUUCUUAAAACCUUGUGGAAUGGCUAGCUGGUUCUUUUUGUAGGAAGGACAAAUCUGAAACAAGAAGAUGUAGGUGACAGGUUGCGAGCUCCAACAAAUUUGGUGCAAAGUUUGUUAUGGGAACCUGGUAUGGAGUGUACACGGGAAAAAGGUCUCUGCUCUUAUAUAGAAGUAGUGAAUUUUUAAUUCCCAUAUACUACGCUAUCCUUCUUCGAACAUCAGUGCUAGCUGGACUUGGUUGUUUACCGUAUACGAGGAGAACCAUUUGGAUUGAGGCAAGGUGAUCCAUUAUCACCAUAUUUGUUGCUCUGUGCUGAAGGCUUUUCUGCUAUAUUACUGAAGGCAAAGAAUGAAGAAAGAGUUGGUGGGGUUAAAAUUUGCCAAGGAGCACCAUGCAUCUCUCACCUGCUGUUGCCGAUGAUUCUUUAAUUGUGAUUCGUGCAAACGGGAAGGAUGCAACACAAUUGCAAGGAACUCCCCAAUUAUAUGAGCUGCCUUCAGGGCAAAUGAUAAAUAACGACGAGUCGGCUGUAAUUUUUAGCAAGAACACUAGGGAUCAGAAGAGAAGUGAGGUGAUGCAAAUGUUGCACAUAACAAAGGAAACACAAAAUGAGAAAUAUCUGGGGCUUCCAAUGUAGAUUAGAAAAUCUAGAGCUGAAGCUCUUGAGUAUCUAAAAGAUAAGACUGGCAAACAAUUCACAGGUGAAGGAGAUUAUGAUCAAAGCUGCACAAGCUAUCCCUAUCUACGCCAUGGCAUAUUUUGAUUUAACAAAGGGCUUAUGUGACCAGAUAAGCACUCUCAUUUGUAGGUAUUGGUGGAUCCAGCAAGAGAAGGAGAAAAAACGCAUUGGAUCAGUUGGGAUAAUCUGAAAAAGUCAAAGAAGCAAGAUGGGCUGGGUUUCAGAGACAUUUAUGCUAGGAUCCUUAAAGCAAGAUCCAGGCUCUGUGUGCUAGGAUCCUUAAAGCAAGGUAUUUCCCUACUGCUGAUAUCCUAUCUGCCCAUCUGAUCGGGAAUAUGUCAUACACAUAGCGAAGUAUUGUAAAAGGUGUUGAGCUGCUGAAAGAGGGCAUUAUUUGGAGAGUUGGGAAUGGCUAAAGCAUCAAUAUUUGCAAUGAUGAUCCAUGGUUACUAAUAAGAGGAAUUACGAGACCAGUCACACACCUAAGGGACACAAUUUGAUCCGGACAUUUUCUGUAAUCCUCAAAUCUGAAGCGGCGUGGGAUGCAUAUUGAUACUAGAUGCCAUGUUUGCAGGAGGCUUGAUGAGGAUCAGGGACACCUCUUUUUCAAAUGUAAGUAUGUUAAAUAUAUCUGGAGAGAGCUGGGAUUAGAAAUAACAAGAAACAUGUUUGCAGAGAUGUAAUCUGUCCAUGAGUUAGUUGAAAAGAUUACUGAUC